GUGGCACCUGCCUCCUGCUCUCAGUUCUCUCUUCUUCCAGAUGAGGAGACCGAGGGCCGUUCAACUAAGAUCACGCGGGUAGAAAGUGGCUGUCUUGUGGCUGUCCCGUGAUUCAACAUAGAUUUUUGGCAUCUAGUUUGGUGGCUUUUUUUUCUACCACACUUCUCAUCUGCCUUACGCCCGGCAGCCCUGAGCCUGACACGCCUACAGACUGAAGGAUGGAGGAGAGACAGGCUUGCAUCCUGCAGAGUCUAGCAGAGGCCCUGGGUCACUUUGCUUCCCAGAGGCACAUCCGAUUUCCCAUACUUGUUGUAAGAGAAACUAAAGUCGUCCAGUUCCAGUGGUGCUUCAGAGCCCAACAGACUCCCCCAGCGUGGCCAAUAUUCAGCUGGCCUGGGAUCUUCUGGGCGGUGCCACUGUGCUAGGCUGCAGACCUGACUUUUUGGCCGAAAAGACAAAAGAUGGUCUCUUCCACUCAUUAGUUAUGAGAGUUCUGACAACCCAUGUAACUUCUAUGAGCCCCCGUGUUCUUAUCUGUACAAUAAUCUAUACUCUUCUUACAUCAAUUAGUCGCUAGAACAAAAAUAAAAUGUCUGCUAUGAAAAGUCCAUAGCUCCG
rnacentral:lncRNA from 10 species